ACAGAGGGUGCAAGCGUUAAUCGGAAUUACUGGGCGUAAAGGGUGCGUAGGUGGUUUGUUAAGUCAGGCGUGAAAUCCUCGGGCUCAACCUGGGAACUGCGUUUGAUACUGGCAGACUAGAGUGUAGUAGAGGGUAGUGGAAUUCCCGGUGUAGCGGUGAAACGCGUAGAUAUCGGGAGGAACACCAGUGGCGAAGGCGGCUACCUGGACUAACACUGACACUGAGGCACGAAAGCGUGGGUAGCAAACAGGAUUAGAUACCCUGGUAGUCCACGCCCUAAACGAUGGGAACUAGACGUCGGGAAGCUUGUCUUCUUGGUGUCGCAGCUAACGCAAUAAGUUCCCCGCCUGGGGAGUACGGUCGCAAGAUUA
rnacentral:rRNA from 1 species